GAUGGCUGAGGUUUAUAGGGUUUCGUUUGUGUUCUUGUAACCCGGUGCAGAGAGCCUAGGCCGGCAUGUCUGAACCACAGAAAUCCCACGGCAAAGGUCUGAAAAGCAGAUCAGAGGCAUCAGCUUUUAGAAACAUGGAUCCGUUUGCAUUAAUUGAAACAGAGUAUAUAAAAAAUCUUCGCAAACAAGUCGAACUUCUGGAACUGGAGACAACAUUUUUA